UAAUAAUACUUAUUAUUAUUAUUAUUAUUAUUACUAUAAUUAUUUUUAUUAUAUUAUUAUUUUAUUAUAGUCCUGUCAUACUUGUUAUUGUCCUGUCAUACUUGUUAUUGUUACCAAUAUUUACAGUAUACGGUUAUGCUCCCUGUUGCCAGCCCCCCAGUUCAGCGCAUGCAGGGUGGAGGGGCUCCAGCCGGCCUGCAAACACAAGGUGAAGCCUGAUAAGAAAACCGUUGGGUCCUAGGUCAGAUAUUUUCUCGGUCGUAAACUUAUAGCGACGUAUUUCUUCUCAGGGUUUGAUAUUAUUUAUGGACCCAGAUGGCAUGAUUCUGUUACUGCGUCUCCAAAUUCCAGUAGAAGAGAUGCUCAAGAACCCGCACAUAUAUAAUCGGGAUGAGUGUGUUGGUGCAGCCGUGUGAAAAAUAUCAUGCAUCGUCUUUUAUCGACAGGGGGCAUUCAAUAGAAAAAUCUGCAGGUCACAUUAAAUCUAUGCGCCGUGCAUGGGCUGCAUGGUGCGCAUACAGUCGUGGAUCAGGCCAUAUACGCAGCCCAGUGACCGGGAAAUAAAAAGCUGCUCCGCACAAGCAAAAAGCCACCGCAUCAUCAGAGACGAGCAUCUGGACGUUUCAGCACAGAAGGGUGGAGUAAAGAGCCAGAGCAGCUCCGGGCUGUUGUCGAGCGUCUCCUUUGCGCAGAUGCACAGAUUCCCCCAGCUCUGUGAAAACGGACCGAGCUGCAGCAUCAACACAAGAGAAGAAAAGGAGACUAUCAGCUGGUAGUGUGAAGAAUCUCAUCUUUAAAAACCUCACUAGACUGUUACAGCAUCCGGCAUUAUUACAUUGACACAUACUGUAGAUGUAGAACAAACAACGUUGGCAUGCUGAUAGUGUAUAGCCAGGAAAUAAGUACUUCUAUUGCCAUGUAAGGUCCGACAUCUAUAAGCUGCUGCUGUUAUAUGUGUAGUUUACCACCACUUAAAUUGUACAUGAUAGUCUAUUAAGGUGCUUAAAUGCAUGUCUCCAAAAAACAGUUCAAUUGGACUCACAAAAUGCAUAUGUAGGCAGUAUAUGUAGGUAGGAAGUAACGAACAUUAAAAAAAAAAGACUAUCUUCAAAAAGAAUCACCUCAGUAUAUGAAAUUACUAUUUUGACAUCUAGUAAUAAGGACAUGGUGGUACAUGCAUCCACGGGGCAUUGAUUGUUCUGUUGGAGACAUUUUGGCUCAGUAAUGCUGCUGCAUCAAAAACAACAGUGAAGAUGAUGUAAUACACGGCUACUAAACGCUAUAAAAUGCCAUAAAAUGUGAUUUCAGUAUUUUGAACCUCUCGUCUGUAACGGUGAGAUCAACCAUGAAGUCAAGUGCGAAUGAGAGUUUUGUGCUGAUGUAUCUAGACUGGGGUUUAGUCUCUGCUAUUAGUCAGUGUGACAUGAUGAGUACAUUUUUAAAGUUUGCAAUAUGUUAAAGAUCAAGUGUCAGGCUGUCUUGUUCCUCCGGUAAACAUGGAGGUCAGUGUGUUUACACUCAGGAAAUAUAGGUACGAAUCCACUACUGUCACAAAUAAACCUCUGUAUCCGAA